AGCAGUAGCCACGGUAAUACGUAGGGUGCGAGCGUUAAUCGGAAUUACUGGGCGUAAAGCGUGCGCAGGCGGUUGUGUAAGACAGGUGUGAAAUCCCCGGGCUUAACCUGGGAACUGCGCUUGUGACUGCACAGCUAGAGUAUGGCAGAGGGGGGUGGAAUUCCACGUGUAGCAGUGAAAUGCGUAGAGAUGUGGAGGAACACCGAUGGCGAAGGCAGCCCCCUGGGCCAAUACUGACGCUCAUGCACGAAAGCGUGGGGAGCAAACAGGAUUAGAUACCCCCAGUAGUCCCUGUCUCUUAUA
rnacentral:rRNA from 1 species